rnacentral:ribozyme from 1 species
AUGUUUGGAUUUUCCGGAAGAUAUUUUUAAAAAUGCAAAAAAUUUCCAGAGUAUGUCUUUAAAUGAACCAGUUUACCCAAAUUUUUAUUCUAACAACAAUUCUUUAAUUGAGGUGUCAUUUUUUUCGAAUAAAAAAAUCUUUAGGCCAAUUUUAGGAGAAAUUGUCAAAACCUCGAACUUUAUUGUGA